GAGAUAUUAGUAAAAAUUACAUA
rnacentral:tRNA from 1 species